rnacentral:lncRNA from 10 species
UGCAAGCUCCGCCUCCUGGGUUCACGCCAUUCUCCUGCCUCAGCCUUCCGAGUAGCUGGGACUACAGGCACCCGCCACCACGCCUCACUAAUUUUUUGUAUUUUUAGUAGAGAGGGGGUUUCACUGUGUUAGCCAGGAUGGUCUCGAUCUCCUGACCUUGUGAUCCAUCCACCUCGGCCUCCCAAAGUGCUGCGAUUACAGGGGUGAGCCACAGCGGGUCUCAAUCUCCUGACCUCGUGAUCUGCCUGCAUCAGCCUCCCAAAGUGCUGGGAUUACAGGCAUGAGCCACCGCACCCGGCCAUUUCCUGACUUUUUAAUGAUCACCAUUGUAACUGGCGUGAGAUGCUAUCUCAUUGUGGUUUUGAUUUGCAUUUCUCUAAUGACCAGCGAUGAUGAGCAUUUUUUCAUAUGCUUGUUGGCUGCAUAAAUGUCUUUUUUUGGGGGAAGUGUCUGUUCAAACAGACUACUUUGCCCACUUUU